rnacentral:lncRNA from 1 species
CCUUUUUGUUAUGUUACCUGUCCAUCCAGGUGGUGCAAGAGGCUGCUGUCUUUGCAGAUCUGGGAAAAGCAAAUUCCAGGAACUGAAAGCAAAUUCUGUGAACAGGGGGCGGGUGGGGUCCGUUUAACAUGCACAACUAAUAAGUGAAAGAAUGAACUGGAGGGGUUAAGAAAAGUCACUCCAUCAUUGCAUCAUAUUUCAGUGUAAUUCUCCACCCUCCUUGUAUGCACUAUAAAAAACAGGAGCCUCAACCGAAAACAGUCUGUGUCCUUCCUGCAGUGUGACUUCAUCUGUCCAGCGUGAGUAUCUGUUUCUGAUACAGAAGUUGCACAGUGUGUUUGGUUUUGCCUCUUUGCAGCCCUGUUGUGUUUAUGAAUGAAGGAGCUGCUCUAGUCUAAAAAUGGCAGAGGUUGAGGAAAUAUUUGAAGGGGUUGAAGAAGCUAUUGAUGGGGCUGAAGAAGGCAUUGAAGAAUUGCCAGAAGAAAUACAAGAAGAAGUAGCAGAAGAAAUAGCUGAAGCCCGUGCUGAGGUUGCAGAGUUUUCCAGAGUUGCAGAAGGACUGAGAACCUUCCUUGAUUUCGUCACAACAAGCAUACCAGAGAUAGCAGGAUUUGUGAUGAAGAAUGUUGCUAUUGGUGCUAUCCUGUGGGGGGUGAAUGUCGCUCUCAACAAAUUAUUGCCACACCAUACAGCAGAACCAGAUGUGAAAAAGAAACGUGAUGCCAUCAAGGCACUGAGCACGGUGAUCAAAACAGAGUCUACCCUGAGUGACAAGGUCCUGGCCUGGAUGAAGGAGCAUAAAGAUGACAAAAUUGUCCUAGAUGGGUUUGAGGUGCCACUGGAAUCAAUUAUUGCAAAAUACAUCACACCAAUAUCUAAGGCUGUUGAUGAUGCGUUCAAAGUCGCUCAAGCACUGCAGGAAAAGCUCGAUGGAAAAACUCAGUACAACAUCCCAACUGGAGAAGAUAUGAAACUUCUUCUCACUGCUGGUGAUGCAUUCCUCAAAGGUUUCAAUGACCUGAUUGAUUUCAUCUCCAAAAAUGUGGGGAAGUUUGAAGUGCUGGCUACCUUUCCUGUGAAACAGGCUGACCUGGUGGUUUUUACAAGUCAGCUGAAUGAUGCUAAAAACUUACCUCUGUGGUAAAGAAAUGACUUUUUUGUCUUUAACUAGAGACAAAAGUCAAAGAAGCUGCUUUAAGCCAUGAGAUUGGUACUUCAACAGUGAUUUAGCUAUGACUAAUGAAGUUUCACAUGGUUUCUGCUUUAAUUUCAGCAAAAACUUUCACCAGACAGGGAGGUUGUGCAAAUUUGUGAUGUGAUGAAACAGUUUCCUGUCCUGAAAGGUUGCAGUUAGUAGGAGUGUGAACCCAAUAGUGUAAUCCUUUAUUGAGCUCAUUAAUGGCUAGAUUUAUUAUCAAUGUUGUGGCAUUGUUGUUGUCCUCAUUUGUUAUUGAUUAAAAACUCUUCCACUGCUCUUUGGUCUGUUUGGUCUUAUUUUGUGCAUCCACCUUUACCUAAAUGUCACUAAUUACUCUAAAACUAUUCAUUUGUCUAAAAAUGUGUGUUGUAGCAGAAGAAAUGCAAACUUAAAAUACACACUUAGUUAAAGUCAUACUAAUUGUUCAAGUCUGUCAGAUGAACAAUGAACAAACAAUGUGUGAUAAAUAAAGAAUAUCUGGCUGCCCCUGAAAUGAAACA